rnacentral:rRNA from 1 species
CAGCCGCCACGGGAAUACGAAGGGUGCAAGCGUUACUCGGAAUUACUGGGCGUAAAGCGUGCGUAGGCGGUGAGUUAAGUCUGCUGUGAAAUCCCCGGGCUCAACCUGGGAAUGGCAGUGGAUACUGGCUCGCUAGAGUGUGUCAGAGGAUGGUGGAAUUCCCGGUGUAGCGGUGAAAUGCGUAGAGAUCGGGAGGAACAUCAGUGGCGAAGGCGACUAUCUGGGCCAACACUGACACUGAGGCACGAAAGCGUGGGGAGCAAACAGGAUUAGAGACCCCUGUAGUCCCUGUCUCUUAUAC